rnacentral:lncRNA from 1 species
GCAGACGGCGGAGAGCAGAGAGGGAGCGCGCCUUGGCUCGCUGGCCUUGGCGGCGGCUCCUCAGGAGAGCUGGGGCGCCCACGAGAGGAUCCCUCACCCGGGUCUCUCCUCAGGGAUGACAUCAUCCGUCCACCUCCUUGUCUUCAAGGACCACCUCCUCUCCAUGCUGAGCUGCUGCCAAGGGGCCUGCUGCCCAUCUACACCUCACGAGGGCACUAGGAGCACGGUUUCCUGGAUCCCACCAACAUACAAAGCAGCCACUCACUGACCCCCAGGACCAGGAUGGCAAAGGAUGAAGAGGACCGGAACUGACCAGCCAGCUGUCCCUCUUACCUAAAGACUUAAACCAAUGCCCUAGUGAGGGGGCAUUGGGCAUUAAGCCCUGACCUUUGCUAUGCUCAUACUUUGACUCUAUGAGUACUUUCCUAUAAGUCUUUGCUUGUGUUCACCUGCUAGCAAACUGGAGUGUUUCCCUCCCCAAGGGGGUGUCAGUCUUUGUCGACUGACUCUGUCAUCACCCUUAUGAUGUCCUGAAUGGAAGGAUCCCUUUGGGAAAUUCUCAGGAGGGGGACCUGGGCCAAGGGCUUGGCCAGCAUCCUGCUGGCAACUCCAAGGCCCUGGGUGGGCUUCUGGAAUGAGCAUGCUACUGAAUCACCAAAGGCACGCCCGACCUCUCUGAAGAUCUUCCUAUCCUUUUCUGGGGGAAUGGGGUCGAUGAGAGCAACCUCCUAGGGUUGUUGUGAGAAUUAAAUGAGAUAAAAGAGGCCUCAGGCAGGAUCUGGCAUAGAGGAGGUGAUCAGCAAAUGUUUGUUGAAAAGGUUUGACAGGUCAGUCCCUUCCCACCCCUCUUGCUUGUCUUACUUGUCUUAUUUAUUCUCCAACAGCACUCCAGGCAGCCCUUGUCCACGGGCUCUCCUUGCAUCAGGACGAAUAAUUUAUGGUCAGUGAAAAUCCAGGCCCCAGUGAGAUUCGAGUGGGCUGUAAAAUCGAGAGUCCUGCUCCCACAGGUUCCCAGUGCCCCCGACAAGCCCCUGCUGGUGUCUCCAUCUCCUGCCAAGCAUCCUCCAGUGCCUCCUCCUGUGGGCCUGGCCUCAGGGCUAUGGACAGACUCCUGUCCCAUCCCAGAGACCCCUCGUGAUCGUGCCCUGGCACGUGGGCCGUGGCCCGGCUGGGUCGGCUGAAGAACUGCGGAUGGAAGCUGCGGAAGAGGCCCUGAUGGGGCCCACCAUCCCGGACCCAAGUCUUCUUCCUGGCGGGCCUCUCGUCUCCUUCCUGGUUUGGGCGGAAGCCAUCACCUGGAUGCCUACGUGGGAAGGGACCUCGAAUGUGGGACCCCAGCCCCUCUCCAGCUCGAAAUCCCUCCACAGCCACGGGGACACCCUGCACCUAUUCCCACGGGACAGGCUGGACCCAGAGACUCUGGACCCGGGGCCUCCCCUUGAGUAGAGACCCGCCCUCUGACUGAUGGACGCCGCUGACCUGGGGUCAGACCCGUGGGCUGGACCCCUGCCCACCCCGCAGGAACCCUGAGGCCUAGGGGAGCUGUUGAGCCUUCAGUGUCUGCAUGUGGGAAGUGGGCUCCUUCACCUACCUCACAGGGCUGUUGUGAGGGGCGCUGUGAUGCGGUUCCAAAGCACAGGGCUUGGCGCACCCCACUGUGCUCUCAAUAAAUGUGUUUCCUGUCUUAACAAAAA